rnacentral:tRNA from 2 species
GUGGGCGUAGCUCAGUUGGUAGAGCGCGCGGUUGUGGUCCGCGUGGUCGUCGGUUCAAGCCCGACCGUUCACCCCA